UGUUACAACUUCCUUCCCUGCCCACCGCCCGGCCCCGGCGGGCGAGGGACGCGGCGAGGGGAGGGAAGCGCGCGCGGAGCGCCAAUGAGUUCACUUUCUUUUUCUCCCCCGCGCUCUCCCCCUCUCCCUUCCCGCCGGCCCCCUCCAGCCUCCUCCGCGGCUGGCGAGGCCGGCCCGGAGUUUUCGGUUCUCGGCCGGGAGCGGGAGGACAGAGGAGGCGAGGGAGGAGGAAGAAGAGGAGGGAAAGGUGAGGAGGCGAGCAGGACGCCGUGCCAGGGAGCAGCAUCCAGGACCGUAAUUGUGUGAAGGGGGGACGCUCCGGGCCGAGUGUGCCCGAGAUCAGGCGCGUACACGUGUCCGUGUGUGUGUGUGUGUGUGUGUGUGUGUGAGAGAGAGAGAGAGAGAGAGAGAGAGAGAGAGAGAGAGAGAGAGAGAGAGAGAGAAGGGGAGAGGAGCCUACCAUACGCUUCCCCCGGUGCUGAUCGCGGGAGAGCCCAAUCACAGGGCGAGCUGGACCCGGCUGUGAUCAUUUAUAAUCCUUGACUCCUCCGCUCCGCCACUUGUCAAGAUGACAGGGGUCAUCCAUGAAUAACACUUCACGCUGAUGAAUGGCUCUUGCCGGCUUUCGGCUCUGAUGAGGGGUCUGCCCGCCGCUGAUUGCAAACACUAAUGAACUUACAGCGCCAUUUGAAAUUCACACGCACCAACAAAGUGUGGGGGGUGGGCAUUUCAGGUCAGCUGAGUCACCCGAGGAGGUGGGAGUGCAAGACACUGCCGGGAAGAUGGAUUCCGAGGCAGAAGGGUAUAAUUAAGGAUUGCCACCCCCGGUAGGCGGCCCGUCCUUCACAGAGCAUCUGAAAAUGACCUGCGCCUUUCCUUCCAGAGUGUCCUCUCCUCCGAGACUGAAAAGCGCAAAUGACCUUCGGACAGGGGAGGGCUGCACUAAACCCUUAGACUUCCUUACAAGCCCGAGCUCUGCACUGUCUAAAACAAGUGCUCGCCUCCGGGUUCAAGUACCUCCAACAAGUAUGAACUGGCGAGGGGCGCACUCUAGAGUCCUCUAAAGCCUCCAACCCCACUUUCCCCACUCUCUCUCCCCCCCAUCCCCCGCCUCUUUCUCCAGUCUUUCCUUAGUUUUGUAGCCCAACACUGCCCCUGCCUCAAUUUUGUUUGCUGUGGGAGGGGGAAAAAGUUUACUGCUGUCCGCGGCAAUGCCACUUUCUAUUCACUUUGGUUCCCAUCAAAACUAGCUCCGGGAUCCCAGCCUUCCAAAGCCCCCUCCCUCGCCGCCGCCGCUGGCGAGCAGAAAGCCCUGCAGGAGAGCAUUUUAAAUUGCCCGAAGUUCCCACUGUUCGGAGUUUUAGAGCACCAAACCCCGCGACCUUCACAGAGCCGCUCACUGGCUUCCCAGCCCCUUGCCACUACCAGGCACCUUUCCGUUCGCUUCUGCAGGGGCCGGGGUGGGGAGUGUGAGCUUGGGGAGGAGGAGUGCGCGUGGCUCCCGGUGGGGCGCCGGAGCGUCUCCCCGCCCUCCGCUGGGACCCGCCGCCAGCCUGCGGGUAGAGUCAGUGUCCCGGCCUCCCCGGGCCGCCGCCAACCCCUACCUCUCCCCAGCUGCGUAGCAGAAGAACUGAUGCGCUCCGAGCCUUCUCAUUCACCUUCCACGUUCUAAGAGCAGAGGAUUCUACCAACCUGUACCUAACCUGACUCCGCCGGAGAGACAGACAUUUGUAUUUUUAACUGCGUGCAGAACAAGAUCAAAUCUAGCAUUCGCGAAAAGAAGGACGACGCCUCCAAGGAGAGCCUGCACUUUUAUGAUAGUUUCUCCAAAGUUUGGGUAGAAUUAAAGAAAAGAAUCCUUGAGAGCGAAUUACCGUGCCCAGACUCAUACAUAGUCUUGAGUUCCCGAAGUUGCUAAGUGAGCCAGCGCACCGCAACGCGUUGAGAAGUACCAUUAAUAAGCAAACCCGACCCCGCUCCUGGGUGCUAAUGAUGCAAAACACCCCCACACACGUUUUUGGGAACAGUCCUGCUGCACGAAUUUCACACUUAAAAAAAAAUAAGGUUGUGGGGUCGGAUGAAUUAUAUCUCCCUCUCAUUCUAACCAUUCUCAUUAUCUUUAAAAAUGUCAAUUGUGAAGAUAUACCUCAGAUAUUACAAGAUGACCAGGCCAACUGCUCAAAAUUUGCAUCUCUAACAUGAUCAUAAGGAAACUCUUAGGAUGCUUAAUAAAUCACUUUUGUGGUCCAUUUCUCACAAAUAUAUUUUAAGUGUUUAAAACUUUACAAAUGUCUGAGUAAAACUCUCCUUGCUCUUUUGUACCUUGCUAAGUAAGAAUACACAAUAAAGGGAAAAGACUGCCUUUA